rnacentral:rRNA from 1 species
UACGUAGGGUGCAAGCGUUGUCCGGAAUUAUUGGGCGUAAAGAGCUCGUAGGCGGUUUGUCGCGUCUGCUGUGAAAAUCCAGGGCUUAACCCUGGACCUGCAGUGGGUACGGGCAGACUGGAGUGCGGUAGGGGAGAUCGGAAUUCCUGGUGUAGCGGUGAAAUGCGCAGAUAUCAGGAGGAACACCAAUAGCGAAGGCAGCUCGCUGGGACGGUACUGACGCUGAGGCGCGAAAGCGUGGGGAGCGAACAGG